rnacentral:rRNA from 1 species
CAGCAGCCGCGGUAAUACGUAGGUGGCAAGCGUUGUCCGGAAUUAUUGGGCGUAAAGGGCCCGCAGGCGGUUUCUUAAGUCUGAUGUGAAAGCCCCCGGCUCAACCGGGGAGGGUCAUUGGAAACUGGGAAACUUGAGUGCAGAAGAGGAGAGUGGAAUUCCACGUGUAGCGGUGAAAUGCGUAGAGAUGUGGAGGAACACCAGUGGCGAAGGCGACUCUCUGGUCUGUAACUGACGCUGAGGAGCGAAAGCGUGGGGAGCGAACAGGAUUAGAUACCCCAGUAGUCCCUGUCUCUUAUAC